AGUGAACGCUGGCGGUAGGCCUAACACAUGCAAGUCGAACGGCAGCACAGUAAGAGCUUGCUCUUACGGGUGGCGAGUGGCGGACGGGUGAGGAAUACAUCGGAAUCUACUUUUUCGUGGGUGAUAACGUAGGGAAACUUACGCUAAUACCGCAUACGACCUACGGGUGAAAGCAGUGGAUCUUCGCACCUUGCGCGAUUGAAUGAGCCGAUGUCGGAUUAGCUAGUUGGCGGGGUAAAGGCCCACCAAGGCGACGAUCCGUAGCUGGUCUGAGAGGAUGAUCAGCCACACUGGAACUGAGACACGGUCCAGACUCCUACGGGAGGCAGCAGUGGGGAAUAUUGGACAAUGGGCGCAAGCCUGAUCCAGCAAUACCGCGUGGGUGAAGAAGGCCUUCGGGUUGUAAAGCCCUUUUGUUGGGAAAGAAAAGCAGCAGGUGAAUACCCCGCUGUUCUGACGGUACCCAAAGAAUAAGCACCGGCUAACUUCGUG
rnacentral:rRNA from 1 species